CGGGAUGUAGCUCAGUCCGGUAGAGUACGCGUCUGGGGGGCGUGUGGUCGCAAGUUCGAAUCUUGUCAUCCCGAC
rnacentral:tRNA from 1 species